UUCACAAAAGAAGAGAUUUGAUUCAUGGAUCAUUGGAAUAUUUGAUCUUUUAUGAGCUGGUCAUUUCCAUAUGAAUCCUUUCUCUUUUUAUUUACAAAAGUAGAACUUUGUUUCAUGGAAUGACUUGUUAUAAUAUUUACGCAAAUGAGUGUUUACACCACAUAAUGAUUGUGAUCUUGCUUGUCUUAAAAGAAAAGGAGGCAAGAGUACUUUCUUGCUGCAUCUAAAAAUAAAAGCAAAAAUGCUAGACAAAGAAA
rnacentral:lncRNA from 1 species